rnacentral:lncRNA from 1 species
CGGAGGACAAGGCAGGUGGGCCAUAGCCUCCAUAUGAACAGUUAGAAGAAGAAGAAGAUGAUGUCAUAUAACUACGAUUUGAAAUCCAUUGGUUUUUUGUAUUCAAUAAUCAUUGAUUUAACCAGCAUAUUAUGCCGCGAUGACAUCAUAACCGCAAUUGACGUCAUUUCUGGUAGCUUCAUAGUGGCGCUAUAUUAUGAAAGUGUUUCAUGACAUCAUCCAUUGUUACGUCACGCCAGUGUCGCUAUGACGUCAUAUUGAAUUCGGACAUCACUUUAAAGGAUUUAAAAGAAAUCACCCCACUCUCUAGAGUGAUCUCAACCCAGGAUAUCUUAUGUUACCAGCAGGACAGUGGAAAAUCUAGACCAAGUUUGGUCCAGAGAUGUCAAAUGGUGUGUGGAAGCCUUUUGGGAACAUACAGACAAACAACAUUCAAUUGAUUCAUAUUGUGAUGAUGUCAUUGCAAUAUGCUGCAUAGCCAUUGGAUAAACGCGAUAUGACUUGCAGUGCAAAUGGCUAUCUCUGGCAUCAACAUGACAGCAUUUAAUAUGUCAUCAUCAUGAUGUCAUGCACGUGAUCAUUUGUGACACCAUCUUGAAUUUAAAAUUUCAAAGGCUCUAUUAACAAUAUUCUUCUUAUCAACCCAAAA